AGUUACGUUACUUAACAUCACGUAACUCGAAUACUGAGGAAGAGUAUUCAGGUUUUGCUUAUGAUAAUCACAUGCUUUAGGAGCAAUCCUAAUUUCAUAACAUUUCUCCUUUACCGAAACUGUGUAUGCAGAUUCGUAGUUCCUACGCAAUGAUCACCCCAAUCAUUGCGUAUUUUUUUGUCUGAAUUAUCG
rnacentral:sRNA from 1 species